GUGCAGGCUAUUUUUCUUUUCCCUAAAAGCUAUUAAAAUUAAGCCACCUUUUUUGAAAAAAAAAAAACUAAAACCUAUUGAAAACCCAAAUCCACCUUUUUAAAACCCCUUUUCCUUUUAACAAUCAGCCCUUUGAUUUUUUUUGAAAAGAACUUAAGAAUUUUUUGAAAUGUUCUCUCAACUCAUGCACUCAUUUUCUCCUCUUCAUCAGACACCACCUCCGUCAAAGGUCCCAUGUGCGAUGGCCACCGACGACAUGAGCACAACUCCGGUAUAAUGGACGUGGGGCGUGGGUCCUGCUUCACGCUAGUUGGCCGGACAUGCGAGGUGGAGUGCGUGGUGGUGGAGAACGUGGGUAGUGGAAGCAUGGAGGCAGUUGGAGGCUAGGGUCUUGGCUGAAAAUGUUUUGGGGUUUGUGGGUUAGGAUUAAGUAUUUGGGCUUCAAAAUUGGGUCUGUUUUUGGUCUCUGGGAUUUGUUUUUGGUUUAAAAAUUUGGGCUUUAAUGGUAAAUGGGCCCGGGCAAAAAUUGGUACCCACAGUACCUACCAGGAUAAACAAUGUUAACUUUUUACAUAGUCUAAUGAAUAUUUGAUAUGUGACAAGGAUCAAA